AAGUUUAUUAAAUAAUAUGUACAGCCAAUGUAGUAAUUCAACAUCUAUUUGUCAAAUUGAUCCACUGCAUAAAGAAAAAUAGAUGAACAGAAAAAUCUGUGUCUGCAUGGUACAUGCUCUUGGUGUGUAAUUUAAAUGGCAAUACUUUAAAUUAAUUGGUUAUAUAUAAUGUCAGUUAUUUUCUUUCAGAAUAUGAUCUUUUUUGUAGUAACUUAGCAAUAGGACUUAAUACUACUGCAGAUAAAUAGGACUGCUAAAAAAAAAAAAAAAGAAAUAAGAAAAAAACACUAUAACUGAGAAAACAGUUACUUUCUCUCCCAGAAAGAAUGAUUAUUUAAUUAUAACACUUUACAAUGGUAUUUUUGUGCUAAAAAUCUGCAGGUACGUUUUUUUGGAAUUCCUUCAUUUAAAUAUGCAAAAAACUUCAUGACUUCCUUAUUAUACCCCCCUCCCCU
rnacentral:lncRNA from 1 species